GCCCUCUCAGUGUCACACCUGGAGAGUUUCCAGUCCUCUACCAGUCUCGACUACGGGAGGGAGAGUCAAGAAGAGGCCUGUCCAUUCCGUUCUUAGCUUGGCCAGUGGCUAGUGAGUGGAAGACAAUCUGCUACAAGU